GACGAACGCUGGCGGCGUGCCUAAUACAUGCAAGUCGAACGAACUCUGGUAUUGAUUGGUGCUUGCAUCAUGAUUUACAUUUGAGUGAGUGGCGAACUGGUGAGUAACACGUGGGAAACCUGCCCAGAAGCGGGGGAUAACACCUGGAAACAGAUGCUAAUACCGCAUAACAACUUGGACCGCAUGGUCCGAGUUUGAAAGAUGGCUUCGGCUAUCACUUUUGGAUGGUCCCGCGGCGUAUUAGCUAGAUGGUGAGGUAACGGCUCACCAUGGCAAUGAUACGUAGCCGACCUGAGAGGGUAAUCGGCCACAUUGGGACUGAGACACGGCCCAAACUCCUACGGGAGGCAGCAGUAGGGAAUCUUCCACAAUGGACGAAAGUCUGAUGGAGCAACGCCGCGUGAGUGAAGAAGGGUUUCGGCUCGUAAAACUCUGUUGUUAAAGAAGAACAUAUCUGAGAGUAACUGUUCAGGUAUUGACGGUAUUUAACCAGAAAGCCACGGCUAACUACGUGCCAGCAGCCGCGGUAAUACGUAGGUGGCAAGCGUUGUCCGGAUUUAUUGGGCGUAAAGCGAGCGCAGGCGGUUUUUUAAGUCUGAUGUGAAAGCCUUCGGCUCAACCGAAGAAGUGCAUCGGAAACUGGGAAACUUGAGUGCAGAAGAGGACAGUGGAACUCCAUGUGUAGCGGUGAAAUGCGUAGAUAUAUGGAAGAACACCAGUGGCGAAGGCGGCUGUCUGGUCUGUAACUGACGCUGAGGCUCGAAAGUAUGGGUAGCAAACAGGAUUAGAUACCCUGGUAGUCAUACCGUAACGAUUGAAUGCUAAGUGUUGGAGGGUUUCCGCCCUUCAGUGCUGCAGCUAACGCAUUAAGCAUUCCGCCUGGGGAGUACGGCCGCAAGGCUGAAACUCAAAGGAAUUGACGGGGGCCCGCACAAGCGGUGGAGCAUGUGGUUUAAUUCGAAGCUACGCGAAGAACCUUACCAGGUCUUGACAUACUAUGCAAAUCUAAGAGAUUAGACGUUCCCUUCGGGGACAUGGAUACAGGUGGUGCAUGGUUGUCGUCAGCUCGUGUCGUGAGAUGUUGGGUUAAGUCCCGCAACGAGCGCAACCCUUAUUAUCAGUUGCCAGCAUUAAGUUGGGCACUCUGGUGAGACUGCCGGUGACAAACCGGAGGAAGGUGGGGAUGACGUCAAAUCAUCAUGCCCCUUAUGACCUGGGCUACACACGUGCUACAAUGGAUGGUACAACGAGUUGCGAACUCGCGAGAGUAAGCUAAUCUCUUAAAGCCAUUCUCAGUUCGGAUUGUAGGCUGCAACUCGCCUACAUGAAGUCGGAAUCGCUAGUAAUCGCGGAUCAGCAUGCCGCGGUGAAUACGUUCCCGGGCCUUGUACACACCGCCCGUCACACCAUGAGGGUUUGUAACACCCAAAGUCGGUGGGGUAACCUUUUAGGAACCAGCCGCCUAAGGUGGGACAGAUGAUUAGGGUG
rnacentral:rRNA from 1 species